AAUAAGCGCAGUUGUUAAUUUUAGUACCCAAUUUUAACCGCUUAUCUUAUUUAUAUUUUUUAUUAUUAUCAUUUUUAUUGUUAUUAGAUGAUAAAAUAUAAAUAAUACUAUAUGUGUGACUUAAUUUUUUAAAAGAAAUUAUAAAUUUUUCAAAUAAAACGGCACAGUCAAACGCUGGACAUAGAAACUUAUGGCUGCACUUAAA
rfam:Oryza glumipatula chromosome 2, whole genome shotgun sequence.